rnacentral:rRNA from 1 species
ACCUGAUCCCAUUCCGAACUCAGAA